AUCGCUUCUCAGCCUUUUGGCUAAAAUCAAGUGUAUACCUGUUCUUAUCAGUUAAAUAUCUGAUACGUCCUCUAUCUGAGGACCACAUAUUAAAUGGAUUUUUGGAGCAGGGAGAUGGAAUAGGAGCUUGCUCCUGACACUCCACACACAGACCUGGUAUUAUUGCAGUACUUCCAGGAAUGGUGCACACGCU